rnacentral:rRNA from 1 species
UACGGAGGGGACUAGCGUUGUUCGGAAUUACUGGGCGUAAAGCGCGCGUAGGCGGAUUUGCAAGUCGGGGGUGAAAGCCCGAGGCUCAACCUCGGAACUGCCCUCGAUACUGCAAAUCUCGAGUCCGAGAGAGGUGAGUGGAAUUCCUAGUGUAGAGGUGAAAUUCGUAGAUAUUAGGAAGAACACCAGUGGCGAAGGCGGCUCACUGGUCCGGUACUGACGCUGAGGUGCGAAAGCGUGGGGAGCAAACAGG